CAGCACAUCAGACACGAUUGCAUCAAGGACUUCCUGCUUCAUCGGGGGAUAUCCAGAGUGCCAACAACUCUUCAUCCACAGCAAACAGUAGUACAGCCAAGGCACGUAUGCGUUGGACACCAGAACUUCAUGAGGCGUUUGUGGAGGCUGUCAGCAAACUCGGUGGCAGUGAACGUACGUCAUUGUCCAAGCUAUUGUUAUCUAAGAUUAAGUAGUUACCAAGAGUCGAUUGUUCAUUCUGUUAAGUUAUGUUUUAGGAGCCACACCUAAGGGUGUGCUAAAACUCAUGAAAGCUGAAGGGCUGACAAUCUAUCAUGUGAAAAGCCACUUACAGGUGCGUGACUUUUUUUUCUCUGGUGAAAUCUAAUUUUGCCUGUUGAGAUCUUCACUAUAAAUCCUCUGUACUUUUUCAUUGAACUCUAUGCUUUUUGUUGGUUUAAGUUGUUUAACAUUUAUUGCAGAAGUAUAGGACAGCAAGAUAUAGACCAGAUUGUUCAGAAGGUAUAUAGCUCAUGCCUCUGAGUUUCCACAUCUUUUGAGCUUAUUCUACAUUCACUUGGCUUCUUUGUUGAAUUUACCAUAUUCCUGGAAUACGUUAGCUUUAUAUAGGGUUUUGUGUCAUAUAUGCGGAUUGACUGUGUGUGCCUUAUGGUUGGACUUGGUGCUGUGGAGAAGGGUUUAUGGGUUUAGGUUAAAAAAUGUCUUUAUGACAAGUUUCUGUUUAAUUUUGCUCUGAUGCUUUAGGUCACAAGCAUAUUUUCAAGUACAUGCUUGAAAAUAUUAAGGGCGCCCUUCUUUUUUAAACUCUUUUUCUUAUUUAUGUUUGUUGUAGUCAUUCUUUGUACAUGCUUCAGUGGAAAAAUGAUGCAUUGAAAUUUUGUUAUUUUCUUAUUUCAGGGUCAUCAGAGAAAAAAUUGACUACUUUUGAAGAAUUGUCAUCCCUUGAUCUAAAGACGUAAGUGCAUUGUUGCUCCAUCCCACAUUUCUCUUUUUUCUUUUUCCCUUUAUUUCCUUGAUGCCUAAAAAAGCAUAUGUAUCAGCUGAGCAGAUUGUCUUUGGUUAUGGUAUAGCAUAAAAUAUCCGUAUCUGGUUUCCUGGACCUAGAAUAGAUUCCAAGUGAUGUAUUCACUUGGUCCUUUUCAUAAGAAAUUAUGGUGCCACUUUGCACUUUGGUCGAAUCACCUAAACAGCCAACUCUUCUAUGAAACCUAAACGUAGUUGCAGAUGAAUGUACCUAUUGCUCCCUGGUUUUUGUUGAAUGCAGAUCAUUUAGCUAAUUUAAAGACUUCAAAUUAAUUACAAAAGCCAGGAUUAAGGAGAAAUCCAAACCAUUAGCUUUAAAUUGUGACUUUAUUUAUAAAUGUGAAUCAUUCAAUGUGCAUUCUGACAGAACAAAGUGAUAGCCUUAAUUGGAGGAACUUGCAGAUUUUUCUAAAAGAUGGGUUGUUUCUCUAUAUCUUAUGUCUAGGAGUGCUGUUUUUUGAUUAAGCGUGUCUUAUUUGUCUUUUCUCAAACGCAAAUGUUUUAAAAACCUAUAUGCAGCUAAUGAUUGAGGUACUUAUUACUCCAUAUUUCUUUCUUUAAGGCAGAUUCAGUCUAUCUGGCUAAUCAAAUGGAGGUUUUAGGAUGAUGGGAACCAGUAACUAUUGAAUGCAACUGUGUUAUUUUAGAGAAUACAGAAAAGUGAUACAACUGCCGUCAGAGCUAAGUGGAAAUUAGUUCAAGUGAUGGAUUUUCUGUUCUUUUAGUGAUUUCUAAUGGUGCUAUUCUUCAAUAAAUGGUUUUCACCUGUCUACUCUCUGAAGUUAAAGGAAUUUGAUUAUCGUGGUUAACCUUUGUGAUUUCGCCAGUUGUUUAUCAAUUUAUUGAUGGUCCUAGCUUCUGUAGUACUAGAUUCUAAGGGGUCUUUUGUGUAUUGCCUAAUCUCACCGGGAUGGCGCCGCAGCUUAUGUAGUGGAGGCAAUUGCCCCGUAGGUAAUCUGAUAUUUAAAAUUUUAGUAUAUGUUCUUUUCUUAUAAGAAAAAUGAUGCAUUCAUAAGUUCUCGGCUUUGACCAACAUUUUGUUCUGCUAAUCCAAACUAGCUCUCUUUUUGGCCUCCACAGUAUAAUCUGAAAUAAAAGCAAAUCCCGUUCUACGAAGUUACCUUCUAAUUGUUGCAAAUUUAGCGAUUGCAAUAAGCACACCACUAGUUAUGCACAUUUCAUGGAAAAAAAGUAAUUACAUAACGUGUUCUAAUCUCUUUUGAAAUUUUGUCCCCACUGCCUAACUGCUCUAGCUCCAUCCCAGAAUCUCGGUGUUUGUUUUAUAUAUAUGCCAACAAAGGAAGAUAAAUGUAAUGUUGGUUGAUUCAUGCAUAAUACUCGUUUUUCUCAAGUUUUUGUAUUAUGAAGCUAACUAGGUCGUAGAGUUGUAGGCCAUGAAGAUGACGCAAAGGCAGAUUUUAUUUUUUUUUAUUUUUUUUGGUCGUAGAUACUAAGGCAGUUGAUUGGCUGGAUUUGAUUUGUGGUUUGUCUCUUAUCUAUCAAGCAAUUGUGAAAGAACUCAUUAAGUUUAGCUUGAAUUUUAGGAGCAUGGAGAUCACUGAAGCUUUGAGAAUGCAGAUGGAAGUUCAGAAACGGUUGCAUGAACAACUCGAGGUAUAACUUCUCAGAUAUUCUUAUCAUGGUUUGGACUGAGUUAAUGACGAGAAGAAUAUUUGGUAAUUUGUUCAACCAAGUCCCUACCACUUCACGUUUAUUCUGUAUGUUUGAGCGCUGACAUUAGCACAUGAGUAUUCCCUCCUUUAUUUUUGGAGUAUCCACAUAGACUGUAGAGCUUGUUCAGCUUUGGGACCCAUUUAGCAAGCACUUGUAGGAGCAUGCCUGUAACUUUAAACUUCAUGUUUACCCCCUAAAAAUGUCUUUUUAGUGCACACUGCUACUUGGAUGUUGUGAAAACUUAACUGGUUUAGCUGACAACUUCUUUGUUUGAUUCAUUCUCUACUUUCAUUUGUCACAGAUUCAGAGGAAACUCCAGCUUCAGAUUGAAGAGCAGGGGAAAUACCUCCAGAAGAUGUUUGAGAAGCAGAGCCACUCAGGAAUGAGCAAGCUGAAAGAAUCUUCUUCUAGUUUGGAUGAUCACUCUGCGCCUUCUGGAGAACUUCAAGACUGCCCUGAAAAAGCCGAAUAUGAAGAAUCCAAGGAGGAGCCAGAAAAAACCGAUAUUGAUCCUAUCAAUGAUAGCAACGUUGCUCCUAGAGAGUGUUUGCAGGAGCAGGGGGGGACGCAAAGUGAACCUGCAGCUGUCUCUCUCGAGAGUCCCAAGCAAGGGGUGCGCGAGUCGUCUUCUGAGCCUUCAAAGCGUCAGAAAAUGGGUGUUUGAGUUCAUGAUUUAUCCCAACUCAGCAUAUCGAAUUUGCGGUGAGAAUGACAAACUAAGCGAAAG
rnacentral:lncRNA from 1 species